rnacentral:lncRNA from 1 species
CCGUCCUUGGUGGGCAGCAGGUCGUCCACCACCACGUCCACCCACUCACCAAACUGCCAGAUCUGGAAGUGGAAGAUGCCAGCGUAGUCCUCCUGGAAGCUCUGCCCGUGGGGCACCACACGGUGCAGGAGUUCCUCGUUGAGAGUGAGGGAGCCGAUGGCAGCCAGCAGCCAGCAGUCACCCAGAGCUCCUUGGCAGAUAUCUGUCCGGGUUGCACCACCAACGAUGAACUGAGGGUCAUCCACUAAUUCCGAUGGACGCUUCCACUCCACGCCCCGUGUCUUGCUGGAGUAUGGCCCCAGCUCCUUGAAGCCGAGGGCAGUGGGGCCAGCUGGGAACUGGGGGUCCCUGAAGAGGGUGCCACUCUCGAUGCACUCUUGCUUGAGGGCUUCAUAGUCCUGGUUGAGGUACUUGACAGCGUUGUUGUGCUCGCCGACCCCCUCGGCUCUCAGGCGGUCCCUCUGCAGCCGGGCAGCGAUCCCCCCAAAGGGCAUCAUAGCUGCGUACUGGCACCGCUACCUCCACCUCUGUGUCCGUUCGCCAGGCGCGGAAGCCGUCGCCGCCCUGCCCGGCUCGGCGCAGCGCAGCGGAGGAGGGGUUAGCGCGGGCAGGAUGUGCGGGCGGCCCGCGGGCAGGGGGAGCUCCGGGCAGUUAAAGGCGCAGCGGCCGCUCAGCCCGCUGCUCCCCGCUCGCCCCGCAGCGCGGAGCCGCCCCGCCGUGACUCAGCGUGCCGCUAUGCGGGGCGGUGCCGACCGCAGCGCCGGGCUCGGCUGCUACCUGCUGCCCGGCCCAGCCCCCGAGCGGGGCGGCGGGCUGCGCUCCGACCGGCGGCUUUGUGCCCCGAGGCCUCGUCCCGGCUUCUGUCCGUGCCCGGAUCGCUAAGCUAGCUUUUGUCCCGGCCCUCUCAGCUCCGGUCGUGCC